UACGUAGGGUGCAAGCGUUGUCCGGAAUUAUUGGGCGUAAAGAGCGCGUAGGCGGUCUGUCACGUCGGCUGUGAAAACUCGGGGCUCAACCCCGAGACGUCGGUGGAUACGGGCAGACUAGAGUGCUGUAGGGGAGACUGGAAUUCCUGGUGUAGCGGUGAAAUGCGCAGAUAUCAGGAGGAACACCGGUGGCGAAGGCGGGUCUCUGGGCUGUAACUGACGCUGAGGAGCGAAAGCAUGGGGAGCGAACAGG
rnacentral:misc_RNA from 1 species